AAUUGCUGUUAAUUUACGUCAAAAUUUUAACAGUAUAAACCCGUUAUUUUAAAAAGCAGUGCUUACCUGUUUAUUUAUGUUCGGUGAAAUGACCUAGAAAAAAUUUAACGUUAUUUUACCGUAUUUAUUGCUCGAAGGAAAGAAAACAGUACUUAACAGUAUUUUGGGAACAGAAAGCUGCAGCGAGCACAUGUGGAUUUUCAUCCGUCUUUAUAUUGUGAUUUAACCGUGCUAAAAUCGUCAACGUUCCAACGGCAUCAUAGAUUGGAGCUGGAUAGAUUCAGAUAUCCCCCGAUUACAAGGCAUCUUCCACUGCAGCUGAUGUAGAAAGGACACUUGAACUACCUUCAACUCCUCGACUGAUACUCUUUGGUGAAAAACCAGGAAGCUGCAUUCAUAAAUGGAUUAUUAGUUUUGAAGGGCAAAUAAUCUGUGAGGGCAUCCAGCCAAGUUUUCUGUCUGGACUUGCUGCUGUGUUUUCAACUUUCUACAAUUUCAAUGUG